UACGUAGGGUGCGAGCGUUAAUCGGAAUUACUGGGCGUAAAGCGUGCGCAGGCGGUUUUGCAAGCCAGAUGUGAAAUCCCCGGGCUUAACCUGGGAAUGGCAUUUGGGACUGCAAGGCUGGAGUACGGCAGAGGAGACUGGAAUUCCUGGUGUAGCAGUGAAAUGCGUAGAGAUCAGGAGGAAUACCGAUGGCGAAGGCAGGUCUCUGGGCUGAUACUGACGCUCAUGCACGAAAGCGUGGGGAGCAAACAGG
rnacentral:rRNA from 1 species